UACGUAGGGUGCAAGCGUGUCCGGAAUUAUUGGGCGUAAAGAGCUCGUAGGCGGUCUGUCGCGUCGGAUGUGAAAAUCAGGGCUCAACCCUGGACCUGCAUUCGAUACGGGCAGACUAGAGUUCGGUAGGGGAGACUGGAAUUCCUGGUGUAGCGGUGAAAUGCGCAGAUAUCAGGAGGAACACCCGUGGCUAAGGCGGUUCUCUAGUACGGUACUGACGCUGAGACGCGAAAGCGUGGGGAGCGAACAGG
rnacentral:rRNA from 1 species